rnacentral:rRNA from 2 species
UGUUUGAUGUUCUAACGUGGACCCGUGAUCCGGGUUGCGGACAGUGUCUGGUGGGUAGUUUGACUGGGGCGGUCUCCUCCUAAAGAGUAACGGAGGAGCACGAAGGUUGGCUAAUCCUGGUCGGACAUCAGGAGGUUAGUGCAAUGGCAUAAGCCAGCUUGACUGCGAGCGUGACGGCGCGAGCAGGUGCGAAAGCAGGUCAUAGUGAUCCGGUGGUUCUGAAUGGAAGGGCCAUCGCUCAACGGAUAAAAGGUACUCCGGGGAUAACAGGCUGAUACCGCCCAAGAGUUCAUAUCGACGGCGGUGUUUGGCACCUCGAUGUCGGCUCAUCACAUCCUGGGGCUGAAGUAGGUCCCAAGGGUAUGGCUGUUCGCCAUUUAAAGUGGUACGCGAGCUGGGUUUAGAACGUCGUGAGACAGUUCGGUCCCUAUCUGCCGUGGGCGCUGGAGAACUGAGGGGGGCUGCUCCUAGUACGAGAGGACCGGAGUGGACGCAUCACUGGUGUUCGGGUUGUCAUGCCAAUGGCACUGCCCGGUAGCUAAAUGCGGAAGAGAUAAGUGCUGAAAGCAUCUAAGCACGAAACUUGCCCCGAGAUGAGUUCUCCCUGAGACUUAGAGUCUCCUGAAGGAACGUUGAAGACGACGACGUUGAUAGGCCGGGUGUGUAAGCGCAGCGAUGCGUUGAGCUAACCGGUACUAAUGAACCGUGAGGCUUAACCUUACAACGCCG